AUGGAGCUCACGAGCUGGCCAUGGCAAUCCCUGCUCCUGUUCAGCACCCUCUCUCUCGUCUUCAUGCUGCAUAGCCGUCGAAAAGGCAAGGAGCUCCCUCCAGGGCCGCCGGCCCUGCUGUUCCUGGUCAAGUUCUUGGCGCUCCGGCGGUCCAUCUUUGACCUUCCUCAGCUCAUACGCGAGCUGCACGCGCGCCAUGGCCCAGUAAUCUCCGUGCGCGUAUUCCGCCCGCUCGUCUUCAUCUCCGACUGCCACCUCGCUCACCGUGUCCUCGUCCAGAGCGGCGCGACCUUCGCCCACCGCCCGGACAUCUUCGAGCCGGGACUUCUGUUCACCUCCGGCGCCCGCAACAUCAAUGCAGCGCCGUACGGUCCCUACUGGCGCCUCGUCCGCCGCAACCUCGCCACCGUGAUGUUGCACCCGGCCCGUGUCAGCCUCUUCGCGCCGGCGAGGCGGCGGACGCGCGACGGGCUCGUCGGCGACCUCCUCGCAGUCGCAGGCUCGCGGCCCGUCACGGUGAGGCCAUUGCUCCGUCGAGCCAUGUUCGAGCUUAUCGCGUACAUGAGCUUCGGCGCCAGGCUUGGCCCGGAGGUGCUGGACGAGAUACAGGAGCUGCAGCUGUGGAUUGUGCGUAGCAUUCUCAGCUACCCCAUCUUCUACCUCUGCCCAUCCCUCACCAAGAGGCUCUUCCGCAAGCGGUGGGCUGUGCACCUGGCCGUGCGCCGGAGGCUGUGCGAGAUCUUUGUCCCGCUGAUCCACGCCAGGCGGGCGCGGGACGAGGAGACGCCGGCGCCUUGCUACGCCGACUCCCUCCUCGCGCUGCGAGUGGCCGAGGAGGGCGACCGCCCGCUGACGGACGACGAGGUGGUCAGCCUGUGCUCCGAGUUCUUGAGCGCCGGGAAUGACGGCACGGCGACCGUGCUGGAGUGGAUCAUGGCGGAGCUUGUAAACCACCCCGAAAUGCAGGCCAGGGUCUACGAGGAGGUCAGGAGCAAGCCGGAGCUAAGCGAGGGCGACCUGCAGGCACUGCCGUAUCUGAACGCCGUGGUGCUGGAGGCGCUGCGGCUGCAUCCGCCGGUGCACUUCCUCAUCCCGCACGGCGUGCAGAGCGACGGCGCGGAGAUCGGCGGCUACAGGGUGCCCAGGGGCGCGGAGGUGGGGCGCGACGAGACGGUGUGGACGGCGGCGCGGGAGUUCCGCCCGGAGCGGUUCUUGGACGGCGGCGAGGGGUGCGACGUGGACAUCACCGGGAGGAAGGAGAUCAAGAUGAUGCCGUUCGGCGCCGGCCGCAGGAUUUGCCCCGGGUACACGCUCGGCAUGCUUCACGUGGCGUACUUGGUGGCGGGCCUCGUGAGGGAGCUGGAGUGGCUGCCGCCGGCGGACGGGGAGCAGGUGGACAUGGCCGAGGUACUGGAGUUCAUCACGGUCAUGAAGCAGCCCCUCCGUGCCCGCACCAUCCCAAGGUGUUGA
rnacentral:rRNA from 1 species